AAAGUCAUCUGCUAAACUACUAAUUUUUACCAAGUUAUAAUAGUAUUAUAUUGUUUAGUUUAUUUUGCUAAAUAGGUUUAUGAAAGGUUAGAAAGAAUACACAAGGUAUAUUUUUUUAUCGUGGCAAUAUUCCUUAAUGAUUAUCUUAAUAUAUACUUACCUAAAAUUGUUAAUGGACUUAGGUAAAACAACAAUUGUGCGGUAUCAGAAAUUAAAAGGUCGAUGAAGAAAAAUGAGGGUAGUGCAGAUGAAUAGAUCAGAAGGAUCAGUUUCAGUACUCAGUAGUUGCUGCAGUUUGACAAUGAUUUCACAACAAUCAAUAAUCAACCCCUGGCUGAUACCAGUGCAUUUUUUUAGGAAAAGUGUAAUAUUUAAAUGCAAAUUAAAAGACUUAUAAUA